rnacentral:rRNA from 1 species
GCCUCAGAAUACCCCACGAAAACUCUUAUGAAACCUAAGAGUCCAAGGAGGAUUUAGCAGUAAA